rnacentral:rRNA from 1 species
CGGGGGGCAGCUAACCAUGCAAGUCGAGCGGCAGCGGAAGUAGCUUGCUACUUUGCCGGCGAGCGGCGGACGGGUGAGUAAUGUCUGGGAAACUGCCUGAUGGAGGGGGAUAACUACUGGAAACGGUAGCUAAUACCGCAUAACGUCGCAAGACCAAAGAGGGGGACCUUCGGGCCUCUUGCCAUCAGAUGUGCCCAGAUGGGAUUAGCUAGUAGGUGGGGUAACGGCUCACCUAGGCGACGAUCCCUAGCUGGUCUGAGAGGAUGACCAGCCACACUGGAACUGAGACACGGUCCAGACUCCUACGGGAGGCAGCAGUGGGGAAUAUUGCACAAUGGGCGCAAGCCUGAUGCAGCCAUGCCGCGUGUAUGAAGAAGGCCUUCGGGUUGUAAAGUACUUUCAGCGGGGAGGAAGGUGUUGAGGUUAAUAACCUCAGCAAUUGACGUUACCCGCAGAAGAAGCACCGGCUAACUCCGUGCCAGCAGCCGCGGUAAUACGGAGGGUGCAAGCGUUAAUCGGAAUUACUGGGCGUAAAGCGCACGCAGGCGGUCUGUCAAGUCAGAUGUGAAAUCCCCGGGCUCAACCUGGGAACUGCAUUCGAAACUGGCAGGCUAGAGUCUUGUAGAGGGGGGUAGAAUUCCAGGUGUAGCGGUGAAAUGCGUAGAGAUCUGGAGGAAUACCGGUGGCGAAGGCGGCCCCCUGGACAAAGACUGACGCUCAGGUGCGAAAGCGUGGGGAGCAAACAGGAUUAGAUACUCUGGUAGUCCACGCCGUAAACGAUGUCGACUUGGAUGUUGUGCCCUUGAGGCGUGGCUUCCGGAGCUAACGCGUUAAGUCGACCGCCUGGGGAGUACGGCCGCAAGGUUAAAACUCAAAUGAAUUGACGGGGGCCCGCACAAGCGGUGGAGCAUGUGGUUUAAUUCGAUGCAACGCGAAAACCUUACCUACUCUUGACAUCCAGAGAACUUUCCAGAGAUGGAUUGGUGCCUUCGGGAACUCUGAAACAGGUGCUGCAUGGCUGUCGUCAGCUCGUGUUGUGAAAUGUUGGGGUUAAGUCCCGCAACGAGCGCCACCCUUUAUUCCUUUUGUUGCCAGCGUUCGGCCGGGAAACUCAAAGGAACUGCAGUGAUAACCUGGAGGAGGUGGGGGAAUGACGUCAAGUCAUUCAGUGGCUCCUUACGAGAGUAGGGG